AUGUACGACCAUACCCUCUGGAAAGCUCGGGAUCCCGUUCGCUCUCCCCUAGAUAAACCGGAGAGGGCCAAACUAGUAGUCGGGUCGGUGACGACCGGCGAAUCCUUGGUGUUGUACAUA
rfam:Fungal sp. No.14919 DNA, contig: Contig0018.